UACGUAGGGGGCAAGCGUUGUCCGGAAUCAUUGGGCGUAAAGAGCGCGUAGGCGGUCCGGUAAGUCGGUUGUGGAAAACUGGGGGCUCAACCCUCAGAGGCCGACCGAUACUGUCGGGCUAGAGUCCGGAAGAGGCGAGUGGAAUUCCUGGUGUAGCGGUGAAAUGCGCAGAUAUCAGGAGGAACACCAAUGGCGAAGGCAGCUCGCUGGGACGGUACUGACGCUGAGGCGCGAAAGCGUGGGGGAGCAAACAGG
rnacentral:rRNA from 1 species